GAUCUUAAUGAGCCCUGGAACCACGAGUCUGUGAGAUAUACAAUUAUACAUACGCUCAUAAUUAUGUGGUUCAGAUAUCCGUGAAAAUAGUCCGGGAUAUGUGCUAACUUCUUACGCUCCUGCUAGCUGUUAAAUAUAUUAAUUUAAAUUUCCUUUCCCGCAGCAUUCCUCAGUUUUAUGCUUUCAUAACGGUGCUCUUUACAUUGUUUUUUUGAAGACAAGCAAAAUCUCUGGUUGCAGAUGGACAUCGGCGAUGAGCAAACAUGCAGGAUAAUUAAAAAAGGAACACGAUGUGGACAAAUCCACCAAAUUAUUUCCUUAAAACUUGACCGGAGAGGACGCUUUCUCCUGCCUCUGAUAACUCCUUUUUACAUCAACGUUACUGAUUUUUCCACCCAGUCUACCUUGCGGACCCACCUGCCUAGGCGUCAAGUCAACAUGAGCUCAAAUGGACUAAUAAACAACUAAUAAUGGACAUAA